rnacentral:rRNA from 1 species
AGUGAACGCUGGCGGUAGGCCUAACACAUGCAAGUCGAACGGCAGCACAGUAAGAGCUUGCUCUUACGGGUGGCGAGUGGCGGACGGGUGAGGAAUACAUCGGAAUCUACUUUUUCGUGGGGGAUAACGUAGGGAAACUUACGCUAAUACCGCAUACGACCUACGGGUGAAAGCAGGGGAUCUUCGGACCUUGCGCGAUUGAAUGAGCCGAUGUCGGAUUAGCUAGUUGGCGGGGUAAAGGCCCACCAAGGCGACGAUCCGUAGCUGGUCUGAGAGGAUGAUCGGCCACAGUGGAACUGGGACACGGUCCAGACUCCUACGGGAGGCAGCAGUGGGGAAUAUUGGACAAUGGGCGCAAGCCUGAUCCAGCCAUACCGCGUGGGUGAAGAAGGCCUUCGGGUUGUAAAGCCCUUUUGUUGGGAAAGAAAAGCAGCAGGUUAAUACCCCGCUGUUCUGACGGUACCCAAAGAAUAAGCACCGGCUAACUUCGU